CCCACACAGAGUCUCCACUGGGACACUGCCUAUUGGAGCUGUGAGAAGAGGGCUACCAUACUCCAGACCCCAGAAUGGUAGAUCCACUGGCAGCUUGCACUCUCAGCCUGGAAGAGCCAUAGAUACUCAAUGCCAGCCCAUGAGAGGAGAUGUAGGGGAUAACCUCUGCAAAGCCACAGGGCAGAGCUGCUCAAGGCCUUGGGAGCCCACCCUUUGUAUCAGCGUGCCCUGGAUGUGAGACAUGGAGUCAAAAGAUAUUAUUUUGGAGCUUUAAUAUUUAAUGACUGCCCUGCUGGGUUUCAGACUUGCAUGGGGCCUGUAGCCCCUUUCUUUUGGUUGAUUUCUCCCUUUUGAAAUGGGAGUACUUACCCAAUGCCUGUAUCCCCAUUGUAUCUUGGAAGUAACUAAAUUAUUUUUUAUUUUAUGGGCUUAUAGGUGGAAAAGACUUACCUUGUCUCAGAUGAGACUUUGGACUUCGGACUUUGGACUUCUGAGUUAAUGUUGGAAUGAUUUAAGACUUUAGGGGACUGUUGAGAAGGGAUGAUUGUAUUUUACAACAUGAGAAGGACAUGACAUUUGGAGGGGCCAGAGGCAGAACUAUAUGGUAUGGAUCUGUGUCCCCACCAAAUCUCAUGUUGAAUUGUAAUCCUCAGUGUUGAAAGUGGGGCCUAGUGGGAGGUGAUUGGAUCACGCAGGCAGUUUCUCAUGGUUUAACACUCUCCCCCUUGGUGCUGUCAUAGUGAGAGAAUUUUUAUGAGAUCUGGUCAUUUAAAAGUGUGUAGUACUUCCCUCCUCUCUCUCUUCCUUCUGCUCUGGCCAUGUGAAGUACUUGCUCCCCCUUUGCCUUCUGCCAUGUUUGUAGGUUACCUGAGGCUUCCCCAGAAGUUGAGCAGUUGCCAGCAUCAUGCUUCCUGUGGAACUGUGAAGUCUGUGGAACUGUGGAACUGUGAAGUUUGUGGAGCUGUGCUGUCUCCACCGUCUCCGUC
rnacentral:lncRNA from 10 species